rnacentral:rRNA from 1 species
CGCGUAGGCGGCAAGGCAAGUCAGAUGUGAAAUCCCCGGGCUCAACCUGGGAAUUGCAUCUGAAACUGCAGUGCUUGAGUCCUGGAGGGGAUAGUGGAAUUCCCAGUGUAGCGGUGAAAUGCGUAGAUAUUGGGAGGAACACCUGCGGCGAAGGCGGCUACCUGGACAGUGACUGACGCUGAUGCGCGAAAGCCAGGGGAGCGAACGG